AUUGAACGCUGGCGGCAUGCCUAACACAUGCAAGUCGAACGGCAGCACAGUAUGUAGCAAUACAUAUGGGUGGCGAGUGGCGGACGGGUGAGUAACGCGUGGGAAUCUGCCCUAUAGUGGGGGACAACCCGACGAAAGUCGGGCUAAUACCGCAUACGCCCUACGGGGAAAGGCUUCGGCCGCUAUUGGAUGAGCCCGCGUCGGAUUAGCUAGUUGGUGAGGUAAUGGCUCACCAAGGCGACGAUCCGUAGCUGGUCUGAGAGGACGAUCAGCCACACUGGGACUGAGACACGGCCCAGACUCCUACGGGAGGCAGCAGUGGGGAAUAUUGCACAAUGGGCGAAAGCCUGAUGCAGCAAUGCCGCGUGUGUGAAGAAGGCCUGCGGGUUGUAAAGCACUUUCGGUAGGGAAGAUAAUGACGGUACCUACAGAAGAAGCACCGGCUAACUCCGUGCCAGCAGCCGCGG
rnacentral:rRNA from 1 species